rnacentral:rRNA from 1 species
AUGGCCAUGAUCGGCGGCACCGCGCGCGACUACAGCGGCACCAGCAUGUUCACCGGCUACGGCGUGCACCUCGACGGCUCCAUGGACAGCCAGAUGGAGGCUCUCCGCCGACUACUGCCUUGCAUCUGCGGGACACGGCAGAGUUGCAAGGAGUAUUUGGCCAAGUCCCUGUUUGUGUUUCAGCUGGGGGAGAACGGCUACAACAUCCAGCUGGUGAAUGGGUCCACGCUACACGAGGCAAGAAAGAGCAUACCCAGCAUAGUCAACACCAUCACAUCCGGCGUAGAGAAAUUAAUCACUCUCGGCGCAGUUGACAUCAUGGUGUCGAAUGUUGCUCCGAUGGGGUGCUACCCGCUAUACCUGAACUUCUUCGAGAGCUCCGACAAGGGUGACUACGACGAGUACGGGUGCCUGAGAAACCACAACGCCUUGUUUGAUAGGCACAACUCUUUCCUCAAGAACGGGCUCAGAAAGCUUCAAAAGAAGCAUCAACACACAAGGAUCAUGCAUGCCGACCUCGCGAGCCAGAUCUACCAAAUGGUACAGGAUCCCAAAAAGUUUGGCUUUGUGAUUGGGACCAUACUUAUGGGAUGUUGCGGAAAGGCCAAUGCGCCAAAUGGAUUUGAUCUGCUCGCAAUGUGUGGGAUGGAUGGCUCCAGCGUCUGCCAUGACCCGGGGAGCCACCUAACCUGGGACGGUAUGCACCUUAGCGACGCUGCCAACAAACAUAUCGCCGAGGGUUGGCUAAGUGGCACGUACUGCCGCCCACCGAUU